rnacentral:rRNA from 1 species
UUUAACGCUGGCGGCAGGCCUCACACAUGCAAGUCGAGCGGAUGAAGGGAGCUUGCUCCUGGAUUCAGCGGCGGACGGGUGAGUAAUGCCUAGGAAUCUGCCUGGUAGUGGGGGAUAACGUCCGGAAACGGGCGCUAAUACCGCAUACGUCCUGAGGGAGAAAGUGGGGGAUCUUCGGACCUCACGCUAUCAGAUGAGCCUAGGUCGGAUUAGCUAGUUGGUGGGGUAAAGGCCUACCAAGGCGACGAUCCGUAACUGGUCUGAGAGGAUGAUCAGUCACACUGGAACUGAGACACGGUCCAGACUCCUACGGGAGGCAGCAGUGGGGAAUAUUGGACAAUGGGCGAAAGCCUGAUCCAGCCAUGCCGCGUGUGUGAAGAAGGUCUUCGGAUUGUAAAGCACUUUAAGUUGGGAGGAAGGGCAGUAAGUUAAUACCUUGCUGUUUUGACGUUACCAACAGAAUAAGCACCGGCUAACUUCGUG